rnacentral:rRNA from 1 species
GAGUUUGAUCCUGGCUCAGGAUGAACGCUAGCGAUAGGCUUAACACAUGCAAGUCGAGGGGCAUCAUGGCAGAAGCUUGCUUUUGCUGAUGGCGACCGGCGCACGGGUGCGUAACGCGUAUGUAACUUGCCUGUCAGUGGGGGAUAACCCGGAGAAAUCCGGACUAAUACCGCAUACACUUGUUAUCUCGCCUGAGAUUUCAAGGAAAGAGUUUUGCUGACAGAUAGGCAUGCGUUCCAUUAGCUAGUUGGUGAGGUAACGGCUCACCAAGGCUACGAUGGAUAGGGGGACUGAGAGGUUGACCCCCCACACUGGUACUGAGAUACGGACCAGACUCCUACGGGAGGCAGCAGUGAGGAAUAUUGGUCAAUGGGCGAAAGCCUGAACCAGCCAAGUCGCGUGAAGGACGACGGUUCUAUGGAUUGUAAACUUCUUUUGUAUGGGAUUAAAAGCCGCUACGUGUAGUGGAAUUGCAGUUACUGUACGAAUAAGCAUCGGCUAACUCCGUGCCAGCAGCCGCGGUAAUACGGAGGAUGCGAGCGUUAUCCGGAUUUAUUGGGUUUAAAGGGUGCGUAGGUGGUCCGGAAAGUCAGGGGUGAAAAGCUGCAGCUCAACUGUAGUCUUGCCUUUGAAACUUCCGAGCUUGAGUGUAGAAAAGGUAUGCGGAAUGCGUGGUGUAGCGGUGAAAUGCAUAGAUAUCACGCAGAACUCCGAUUGCGAAGGCAGCAUGCCGGGCUAUUACUGACGCUGAAGCACGAAAGCGUGGGUAGCGAACAGGAUUAGAUACCCUGGUAGUCCACGCAGUAAACGAUGAAUACUAGGUUUGUGCGAUAUAAUGUAUGAGCCUAAGCGAAAGCGAUAAGUAUUCCACCUGGGGAGUACGCCGGCAACGGUGAAACUCAAAGGAAUUGACGGGGGCCCGCACAAGCGGAGGAACAUGUGGUUUAAUUCGAUGAUACGCGAGGAACCUUACCCGGGAUUGAAAUGUAGUAGACGGAUUGUGAGAGCGAUCUUUCCUUCGGGACUGCUAUGUAGGUGCUGCAUGGUUGUCGCCAGCUCGUGCCGUGAGGUGUCGGCUUAAGUGCCAUAACGAGCGCAACCCGCAUUGAUAGUUACUAACAGGUUAAGCUGAGGACUCUAUUGAUACAGCCGUCGUAAGACGUGAGGAAGGAGCGGAUGACGUCAAAUCAGCACGGCCCUUACAUCCGGGGCGACACACGUGUUACAAUGGCAGGGACAAAGAGCAGCUACCGGGCGACCGGAUGCGAAUCUCUAAACCCUGUCCCAGUUCGGAUCGGAGUCUGCAACUCGACUCUGUGAAGCUGGAUUCGCUAGUAAUCGCGCAUCAGCCAUGGCGCGGUGAAUACGUUCCCGGGCCUUGUACACACCGCCCGUCAAGCCAUGGGAGUCGGGAGUACCUGAAGAAUGUACCCGCAAGGGGCGUUUAAGGGUAAUACCGGUGACUGGGGCUAAGUCGUAACAAGG